rnacentral:rRNA from 1 species
UACGAAGGGGGCUAGCGUUGCUCGGAAUCACUGGGCGUAAAGGGUGCGUAGGCGGGUCUUUAAGUCAGGGGUGAAAUCCUGGAGCUCAACUCCAGAACUGCCUUUGAUACUGAGGAGCUCGAGUCCGGGAGAGGUGAGUGGAACUGCGAGUGUAGAGGUGAAAUUCGUAGAUAUUCGCAAGAACACCAGUGGCGAAGGCGGCUCACUGGCCCGGUACUGACGCUGAGGUGCGAAAGCGUGGGGAGCAAACAGG